rnacentral:rRNA from 1 species
UAGCCUUACUAUCAUCUGUUUCUCAUUUUACACAUGCAAGUCUCAGCACCCCAGUGAGAACGCCCUUUUAACCUACACCAGGAGAAGGAGCUGGCAUCAGGCACAAUCCCUGCCCAUAACACCUAGUCUCACCACACCCCCAAGGGUAAUCAGCAGUGAUAAAUCUUAAAUAUAAGCGACAGCUUGAUUUAGUUAGAGAAAAGAGGGCCGGCUAACCCGGUGCCAGCCGCCGCGGCUACACCGUGGGGCCCGAGCUGAUAGUCACCGGCGUUAAGCGUGAUUAAAGCCCUCAACAAUUAGGGUUAAAUUAAUAUUUAGUAGUGAUAAGCUUGUUAUUAAGAAAACCAUAAACGAAAGUUACCCUAAUUACACUUGAAUCCACGACAACUGGGAAAACAAACUGGGAUUAGAUACCGCCACUG